rnacentral:lncRNA from 1 species
GCAUACCAUUAUUUUUCUUUACUGUUUUUGCUUUUAAUUGCAGUUUUUAUUUCUAUUUUUAUUUUCUUUUCCAGUUAAGCUUUCAGCACUUAAUUAAUUCUUUUUCGCACAAUAGUUUCUACACCGGAAACUAUUGUGUAUCUUUUACUAGAUCUAACCUUACGUUAGACCCUAGAUUUUUAUUCCUUCACUUUUAUUUUUCUGUCUGAUUGAAGAAUUCAAGAACAAAUCCAACCGGUCUGUGGUGGAUGUUCAAGACUGCUAUUUAAUUACUCAGGUUCUUUAAUUAUUGUUUGAAUUUACAUAUGCUUUGUUUUACU